GAUGAAGAACGUAGCGAAAUGCGAUAAGUAAUGUGAAUUGCAGAAUUCAGUGAAUCAUCGAAUCUUUGAACGCACCUUGCACCCUUUGGCAUUCCGAAGGGUAUGCUCGUUUGAGUGUCAUUGUACUCUCACACUUCCAAUUCUUUGGAUUGGGAGCGGUGGACUUGGGUGCUGCUGCUUACCGUGGCUCACCUCAAAUGUGUUAGUGCAACCGUUGGUUAGACAUAGUACAGCGUGAUAAGUAUCUUCGCUGGCGCCUCACCAGAGGGUGGCUGAUCAGGGCUUUGUGCUUCCAAUCGUCUUCGGACAACCGCUGAUAACUUGACCUCAAAUCGAGUAGGACUACCCGCUGAACUUAAGCAUAUCAAUAAGCGGAGGA
rnacentral:misc_RNA from 1 species